GCUUAACAGCUUUACAACCCUAAGGCCUUCUUCACUCACGCGGAAUGGCUGGAUCAGGGUUUCCCCCAUUGUCCAAGAUUCCCCACUGCUGCCUCCCGUAGG
rnacentral:rRNA from 1 species